UACAGAGGGGGCAAGCGUUAUUCGGAAUUAUUGGGCGUAAAGGGCGCGUAGGCGGCCUUGCAAGUGACGGGUGAAAUCCCUCGGCUUAACCGAGGAACUGCCUGUCAAACUGCGUGGCUUGAGACCAGGAGAGGUGAGUGGAAUUCCCAGUGUAGCGGUGAAAUGCGUAGAUAUUGGGAGGAACACCAGUGGCGAAGGCGGCUCACUGGACUGGUACUGACACUGAGGAGCGAAAGCGUGGGGAGCGAACAGG
rnacentral:rRNA from 1 species